rfam:Crassostrea gigas strain 05x7-T-G4-1.051#20 contig4297, whole genome shotgun sequence.
AACAGAGAAUGAAAAUCUCUUCUUAAAUCCUGAUCCAGGCUGAUGAGAUUUGAUGUUGAAUGCUGUU